AGGUGCUUCAAACUCUCUUAUUUGAAAAUGCUUUUCCUUGUAACCUUCGGCUACUGAAACAAAAUGACAUAAAAGAUAAGCUGAAGCAAAGAGGGACCUGCUGAUAUCCUGGAUCACGUUUCACUCAGCAGUACAUGACAACUUUUAAAAAGGAAUCUCACCACUCAUCUUUACUGCAAGGACAUGCUGACCAUGGAGGGUAUCUGGGUCCAGCUCUUGGGACACGUCCUUCAUCCACAGCAGGGCUCCUCUGUAUUCUGUGCGCGC